rnacentral:rRNA from 1 species
UACGAAGGGGGCUAGCGUUGCUCGGAAUUACUGGGCGUAAAGGGCGCGUAGGCGGGUCGUUUAGUUAGAGGUGAAAGCCCAGGGCUCAACCCUGGAAUUGCCUUUAAUACUGGCGGCCUUGAGUAUGGCGGAGGUGUGUGGAACUCCGAGUGUAGAGGUGAAAUUCGUAGAUAUUCGGAAGAACACCAGUGGCGAAGGCGACACACUGGGCCAUUACUGACGCUGAGGCACGAAAGCUAGGGGAGCAAACAGG